rnacentral:lncRNA from 1 species
UAGGCAUCCAGUACGUAUAAUGUUGAAUAAAUAACUGAAAAUGAAGUCAAGUAGUUGGUAUGUGAAAAUACCACAGAUAUGAAGAUGUUCGUCACAGCAUUAUUUAUAAUAGUGAAAAAGUGUUUUUUACAGUCUGGUUAAGAAAUCUGUGGCAUUGACAACAAUGAAAUGGAUGCUACUAUUAGAAUUAACAUGAGGACUAAAAAAUCAUGAAAAAGCGUUUAUGGAGUAUAGAGGAAAAGGAUACAGAUGAAAUUUAAUAACACUGUCAUUAAAACAACAUAAACAGGUAAGUCUAUAUAGUUUAAGAUUGGAAGGCGCAUUUAGAAAUAAAGUUAUUAUUGUACAAAAUUAGUGGGCUUAUGAGCAAUUAGGAAAGACUUUUGAUAAUGUUUUACAGUGGAUUCUAGAAUAUUUCACAACUCUUUUUAAAGAAAGCCCUGCAGUACUUUCUAAACAGACGAGCCAGCUGUUUGCUGUUUUCCAGGGUCUGGUUGCUGAGCCGUGAAAGGCCUCAUGGAGAGGGGGCUUCUGAAAAUUUCCGUCUCCCCGCCUCCAGGUGCCCAGCAGUCCAGCCCUGACCAAGUUAUUCUUGGCAAACGCGAGCCGUCUCAGCGUCCUCGGGGCACGGAGCCUCCGGCCACUGAGGUGCUAUAAUCUGUGCUGGUGCAACUCUGUCCACAGCGGGCAUUUGACAGAGAGCUUUUCAGCCUUUUAUUUCCAGAACUCCUUGGAUGGUGACCUGCGCAUCCCGGGAGAAACUUUGUUAACGACUUAUGUGCACCUGGUUUGGGUCAGAAUUAAACAGCCACGCUGAACACCGUGCCCUUGUGGAAUGACAAAUUGAUAUGCUUAAAAGAUGCCUGUGGACAACUGGUUGAGAUCCUGAUCGAGGUUCGUCGUUCUUUACAACGAGACGAAGGCAUGGACUCGGAUGGUUCAACCAUCUAGUGAGCUUUGUCUGUUCUAUUUAUAAUGAGAGUGUAACAGUACUAACGUAUUUCAUUGAGUCCAAGAUACAGCCCCUCCCGCAGACACACACAUUCUUAGCAGCUGUGUAAUUCGGAUGUGUCUUAUGCUCAGUGUCUUAUUGUCAUUGACACAAGGUCAUGACAGGGUUGUCAUCGCCUGACACCUUCUGUCAGAAUCACAGCGCAGCACCCUUGAAAGAAAUGCUUCCUCGUCAAUGCUGUUGAUGGCCUAGGGGUGACUUUGUGUUGAAAAAUAUGAACACUGACAACACUGAGUUGAAAAUCACUAAGAAGAUUUGGACUCUGUGAAGAAAUUUUAAGAAUAGCUUAACCAAUUUUUUUCACUUAUAUUUUCCUCUUUAGAUGUGCCCAAGGGUGACAUGAUCUGUCUAAAUAAGUGGCUAAGUACUUUCGAUAAGUCUAAAAUAAAAAUGUUAAGAGAGAAGAAAGCAUUGAAUCAUAGUCGAAUGGGCACCAUUUUUUUCUGAGUGGUGCAUCAAACACCGGUGCUUCCUACAACUGAGGGCAUCUUACGUGCAGUGAGAUGCAGUGACAGCUAGAGUAACACCGAUAGCACUUCCUGCCUGCCAGGCAUUAACACUUCAUGCACAUUAACUCAUUCAAAUCCUCGUAAUUGUUAGCCCCAUUUUACAGAUAAGGAAACUGAGGCACUUGGAAGAUAAAGUCACACAGCCAGAGAUUGGUAGAGGUGGGUGGGGUUCCAAGGCCAGCAGUCAGCUCCAGGGUCCAGGCUCAGACACAUUACUACAGGAUCUUACUUAGAAGCGUGUAAACUGGCCAUGUGUCAGAUGAAACUGGUGAGGAAUUUUUAACCAGAUUUGUAUUUUAUGGAGCAUAGUAAUAAUUAGGAAGAAGAUGUUCAAACACUUUGGAAAGACAAGGUCAAUUCUGUGACAGGCAAAGGGCCGCAGAGGUGGGCGACAUCAAGGUUAUUUCUCAUCCUGAACUCCCCCCGGCAGGCCCUACCUCAUUUUACCAGGAGCACCUCACAUCAGAAAGUUUCUCGUGGCUUCUCAUUGCAUUCAGUGGAGCAUUGAAAAGAGUAGAAAUAAAAGUCCUUUGGCUACAGUCUUUUUCCUAGCUUCACACUGAAAUGGGGAGUCCCUUUAAUGAUGAUUUUUAUAAAGAUGCUGCUGCCUUUGUCAGGAGAUGAGGCAGUCCCAGUGUUCAGGGAGUGAAUUAUGGUCAAAUUAAUACUCUUCAAGAAGGAUUAAGUAGACAUUGGGACAAAGGAUAAAAAUGUAGAUUCAGUUUGACCUAAUGGCAAAACCUACCUCCCAAAUUUCCCUUUUCAGUCGAUUUUUUUUUGUCUGAGUUAGUGCAAAUUUUAUUUUAUUGCCGUUACCGCACUUGUCGAGAUUGAUACGAUGACAAUGCAAUUUGAGAUACGAGUGAGUGGAGUUGAUCAUGGAGACUGAAUCUGUGGAGAAUUAGUUCAUUUACAAGUGACAGCAUGUACAUUUGGUGAUGAAACAGGAACGAAAGAAUCAAUCAUCUUUGUUCGUGGAAAAUUUCCCUUGAAACUGUUUUUCAAGGCAACAACAACAAAAAGAGACUAGACCAGAGACCCUUAAAGCCCCCUGUCUGACUCAAGCUUCUUGUUCUCUCAGCAAGAGGAAAUUUAGGAAAACCAGGCUGACCUGAUCCGCUUCAGACCAGACCCUCAAACCCCCAGGGUUGAGCACUCGUUUUCAUCUGCUCUGAGGAUGCUGAUGUGGAAAAGUUCAAGAAGCUCCACGUUACAAAGAACCCCUUGAGUCCCACGGCCAUUUGUCAUUAAGCAGAAAAAUACACCCCUGUGUAUUUUUCUUCCUUGUUCCUUGUGUCCUGGGCUGCCUUCCAUUGCCGUCCAUCCAGGACCACAUCUGCCCAUGGGUGGGCAGAACCUUCGGGGCUGAGGGCUCCCUUAGCAGAAUGUUCCCUGUAGUUUUAGCCCAGGAGGCCCGUGUCAUGUGGUUUUCAAGGCCAAAUUAGAGACCACCCUAGAAUAUUGAGGCCAAAAUGGAAGCUUUUCCCCUGCUCCGUCCCAUCUGGGUUUUGGUGUGGAAGGGAGUUAGAGCUGUGAUGGGCUCCAUUUGGGAGCCCAGUGAAAUAAGAGCACUUUGAAAAACCAACAGGGUCCACACCUAAGCUAUAUAGAGAAUGGAAUCUUUGCGAAUCUUUGAAUAAAGUUUUCCCUACUGUAUUAGGCUUUUGAAAAAAUAGAAGAAGUUUGCAAGCAUUUUAAUAUUCAUUCAUUCAUUCAACAAUAUUUUUGAGCCACUCUAGGCAUGGGGAAUACAGUAGCAAGUAAAAUAAAUAAAAACCUCUGUCCUCAUGGAGCUCACAUGCUAAAGUGGGGAGAGAGAGAAUUUUUUAAUGAUUAAAAUGUCUAGAAUAUCUGAUAGUGAUCAGUGCUGUAAAGAAAAAUAAGGGAAGCGGGAUGGGACUAUGUGUGUGUUAAUGGGUCGGUUGAGAUAUUAAGUAGGAUGAUCAAAUACCACCACACAAGUGAUGUUUGAGUAAACGAAUGAAGGAUUUGGAUCUGUUGUUUUGAAGGUACAGCCUGUUGGGUUGCCUGAUGGAUUGGAUAUAGGGUGCGAGAGAGGGAGAGAAAUUGGGGAUGAUUCCAAGUUCUGAAAGGCGUCUUAUGACAUGGCUCCCAAUGAUCCCACCACCUGAUAUUCCUGUCUGUGUAGUUCCCUUCCUCUUGAGUCUGGGCUGGACCCAGUAACUUGAUUCUAAUGACUAGAGUAUGGCAAAGUUGAUGGGAUGUCACUUCUGUGAUUAGGUUACAAAAGAUUGUAACUUCCUCUCGCUAGCAGAUUCUCUCUAUUGUCCUCUCAGCUUGCACGCUUCAGUGAAGCAAGGUGCCUUAUUGGAGAGGUCCACACGGCAAGGAUCUGAGGGCAGCGCCUGGCCAACAGCCAACAAGGACAGAAGCCCUCAGUUCAACAACCCAUGAAGAACCAAAUCCUGCCAACAACCACAUGGGCUUGGAGAGGGUCCUUCCCCACUUGAGCUUUGAGAUGAGAUUGCAGCCCCCCGACAUUGUGAUUGCCACCUAUGAGAGACCCUGCAGCAGAGGGCUCCUCUAAGCCAUGUCCAGAUUCCUCACCUAUAGAAACUGGGAGAUAUACAUAGUAUUUUAAGCUGUGAAGUUUGGGAAUAGUAGGUUAUGCAGCAAUAUAUAACUAACAUACAAGAUUUUGGGUCUGGGCAACUGGAAGAAUAAAAUUGCCGCUUAUCAUAUCAUAAGACGAGUGUAGAUAGAAGGAUUUUUUGGUGAGAGAAUAGCAACUUUGGUUUUGCAUAUGUACAAUACACGCAUAUUUCUAUUUCUGUGAUAGUGUUUCUCAUGAAUUUUUCAAAUGGUGGUUAAGCUACCAAUAUAUUCGAUUUAAAUGCUCUCUCAUGAACCACUUUGAAAAAUGUUAAUUAAUGCAUCUUCAGAAAUCAGAUUCUAUAAUAACUUCAG